UUUCUGAGGUCAUCCAGUAAGUUGGACCCUGAGUCUGUGUGAUUUCAAGAGACGUUUGAGAGAUCACAUGUAUGUCCAUAUACACAUUCUCAGUGGAUCAUUGAACAGAGUUAUCUUUGGAGCUGUACCUGUUUAAAAAGCUCUAUUCCCACUCAAAGACUUUGUGAUUCUGGGUAUCUGAGUCACAAAUUAACGUACGACCUUUGGAACCUGGAGAGUGGAUUUGAAAGUUUCAUAUUAUUCCCUGAAACUAAGAAAGAAGAUUUUGAUCCUUCUGGGGUUGACAUCCUCAUGGGUCCAAAGCUCACCACAUUUCCAGGGUAAUGCCUGAUCAGAGGAAAUAGAUGGAAAGACCCAGCCUAGAAUGAAACCAGACUCUGCAAAGGGUUUUUUUGAGUGCUUUAUUUCCUAGAGGGACAAAAGCAAAAGGUACUUUCUCGACAGACAAAUGUGAGGCCUGGAAGUUCUCUGUUUCCCUAGAUGAC
rnacentral:lncRNA from 1 species